rnacentral:rRNA from 1 species
CCUACGGGAGGCAGCAGUGGGGAAUAUUGGGCAAUGGGCGCAAGCCUGACCCAGCAACGCCGCGUGAAGGAAGAAGGCUUUCGGGUUGUAAACUUCUUUUCUCAGGGACGAAGCAAGUGACGGUACCUGCGGAAUAAGCCACGGCUAACUACGUGCCAGCAGCCGCGGUAAUCCGUAGGUGGCAAGCGUUAUCCGGAUUUACUGGGUGUAAAGGGCGUGUAGGCGGGACUGCAAGUCAGAUGUGAAAACGACGGGCUCAACCUGUGUACUGCAUUUGAAAAUGUAGUUCUUGAGUACUGGAGAGGCGGACGGAAUUCCUGGUGUAGCGGUGAAAUGCGUAGAUAUUAGGAGGAACACCAGUGGCGAAGGCGGUCUGCUGGACAGCAACUGACGCUGAGGCGCGAAAGCGUGGGGAGCAAACAGGAUUAGAUACCCCUGUAGUC